UCACUACUUGCGUAGGCAGUCUGGCUAGAGUCCCCACCAUCACGUGCUGGUAACUAACCACAGGGGUUGCGCUCGUUGCGCCACUUAAGGCAACACCUCACGGCACGAGCUGACGACAGCCAUGCAGCACCUUCCGGCCCGUCCCGAAGGAAAGCUCCCUUUCAGGAGCCGGCAGGCCGGAUUUAGCCCAGGUAAGGUGGGGUGACGUCUCUAGGAGGGUG
rnacentral:misc_RNA from 1 species